CAAUAGCGUAUAUUUAAGUUGUUGCAGUUAAAAAGCUCGUAGUUGGAUUUCGGAUGGGACUUGCCGGUCCGUCGUUUCGAUGUGCACUGGCCAGUCCUAUCUUGUUGUCGGGGACUAGCUCCUGGGCUUCACUGUCCGGGACUAGGAGCUGACGAGGUUACUUUGAGUAAAUUAGAGUGUUCAAAGCAAGCCUACGCUCUGAAUACAUUAGCAUGGAAUAACACGAUAGGACUCUGGCUUAUCUUGUUGGUCUGUGAGACCAGAGUAAUGAUUAAGAGGGACAGUCGGGGGCAUUCGUAUUUCAUUGUCAGAGGUGAAAUUCUUGGAUCUAUGAAAGACGAACUUCUGCGAAAGCAUUUGUCAAGGAUGUUUUCAUUAA
rnacentral:rRNA from 1 species